AUGUUGAAAGAUCCAGUCAUCUCCACCCUGACACUAACUAAUGCACCUCUGCCAACCUUGUCACCAGAGGAAUGGAACAUUUCCAGAGAAAUCUUGGACAUUAUUAAGCCAUUUGAAGAGGUCACCACUGAAGUGAGUGCAGAAAAGUUUGUGACCGCAUCCAAAGUCAUUUUGAUGACAAGAGGUCUUCAGAGGAUUGUUGCCCGAUAUCAAAGAAAUCCCUCCAGCUUUGACCCUGUUAAAAAACUAGUGGAUGCUCUGAUGUCAGAAAUGACUAGGAGGUUUGGCAAAGUGGAACACAUUGAAAAGCUUGCUGAUGCUACUUGCCUGGACCCUAGGUUCAAAAAGCAAGCUUUUGUCAAUCACCAGGCAGCAGAAGAGACAGUAAAGCGGAUUACAGCAAAUGCAGCAGCUAUUAACCCAGCUCAGAGUGAGGAGGAGAAUACUUCAGAUCCUGGUGCGACUGCCAGUGCAGGGGCCAUGUUUUGGGAAGACUUUGAUGAGAGGGUAACAAGCUUGAGGCCUUCUGCUUCCUCUUCUAAGACCUCAGAUGCUAUGAUGGAGAUGCGGGCCUACCUUGGAGAGCCACUCUUACCCCGCACAUCAGACCCUCUGGCCUGGUGGAGGAGAUGUUCACCAGUAAACAAAAACCCUUUCUGAAGUCACGAAGACAAGACUUUGCAUUGUGGCCACAUCCGUGACAUCUGAAAGAAUUAUUCUAAAACUAGGGCAGAUUCUCUCAGAGAGAAGAAACAGACUCAGCCCAUCCAAGGUCCGGGAGCUUGUUUUUUUAUUAGUCACAUACCUUGGAGAGCCACUCUUACCCCGCACAUCAGACCCUCUGGCCUGGUGGAGGAGAUGUUCACCAGUAAACAAAACCCUUUCUGAAGUCACGAAGACAAGACUUUGCAUUGUGGCCACAUCCGUGACAUCUGAAAGAAUUAUUUCUAAAACUGGGCAGAUUCUCUCAGAGAGAAGAAACAGACUCAGCCCAUCCAAGGUCCGGGAGCUUGUUUUUUUUUAAUGCAAACAUGCAUUAAAGCAAGUCCUAAAAAUAUAGCCACAGUGUGUUAUUUAUUUUAAAGCUUAUUUAUUUUUAUUUAUUUAGAAAAUGUCUAGCUUGUUGUGCAAUAUUUUUGUUGUUGUUGUGAUUUCAAAGGUAAUUUGUUAAGGUUAAAGGGUUCUGUAUCUCUAGUAUCUCUUAGUAUUUCUUAUUUUCAUUUAUUUUUUAUUUAAAUGGUUUACAAUUAAUUUGGGAAUAGUUAACCUCUUUGAUAUAAAGUUUUUGGCACAAAAGUGUUAUUUUAAAACUAUUUUAAACUAAAAAAAGACAAGAUUGUUGUGCAAUAUUUCGUUUUUUUAUAUAUUGUACUUUUAAAGUUAAUUUGUUAAGGUUAUUAGACUCUGGCUUUUAGUAUCUUUUAAUUUCUUUUCAUUUAAUUUUUAAUUAUUUGUUUUUUUUAUUGUUUUAAUUUAUUUUGGAAUAGUUAUCCUCUUUGCUAUAAAGCUUUUCUGGCACAAAAAUAAAAAAGAAACAACAAUUCAAGAGUAUGUACACAGUGUUUCUAAUGUUUUUAAAGUGUCAUAUGUUACAAAAGUAUAGUUUACACAGACAAUCUGAUUUAUUAAAUAACUGCAUAAUUAAGUUAUCAAGUAUAAAAGUAAUUAGUUACAAGUUAUUGAGUAUCAUGUGACUUUUCAGUUAAAAACAACUUGUCAACAUUAAAGGUAAUUUAUAAUGGACUAAAAAUAUGAGUGACUCAAAAAUGCUUCAUGAAUCCUAAACAAAUAACACUACAGUUCUAUAGUCUAAUCUGAAGGGUGAACUCAAAAGACAUAAAUCAUACAACAAGGUAAUUUUUGAAGAUUAGAAUCCUCUGUAAAAAACAAAAACAAACAAACAGAAAAAAGUAUCUCUUCUUUAUCAAAGUGAUAUCGCCAUCAUAUGGACAAAAUUUAAAGCAUGACCAACUCUUUAUUACCACAUUCAGUGUUAUGGAAAAGUACCAUCAUGACAGAAAUUAAAAGCAACAAUUUGAGCUCAUAGCCCAAGUUGCUUGAAGUCAAGUGUUAAGUUUCCACAGUCUGUGAUGAUUUGGGGUGCAAUGUCAUCUGCUGGUGUUGGUCCACUGUGUUUUUUGAAAACAAAAGUCACUGCACCCGUUUACCAAGAAAUUUUGGAGCACUUCAUGCUUCCUUCUGCUGACCAGCUUUUUGAAGAUGCUGAUUUCAUUUUCCAGCAGGAUUUGACACCUGCCCACACUGCCAAAAGCACCAAAAGUUGGUUGAAUGACCAUGGUGUUGGUGUGCUUGACUGGCCAGCAAACUCACCAGACCUGAACCCCAGAGAGAAUCUAUGGGGUAUUGUCAAGAGGAGAAUGAGAAACAAGAGACCAAAAAAUGCAGAUGAGAUAGAAACCUGGGCUUCCAUACCACCUCAGCAGUGCCACAAACUGAUCACCUCCAUGCCACGCCGAAUUGAGGCAGUAAUUAAAGCAAAAGGAGCCCCUACCAAGUAUUGAGUACAUGUACAGUAAAUGAACAUACUUCCAGAAGGCCAACAAUUCACUAAAAUUGUUUUUUUUAUUGGUCUUAUGAAGUAUUCUAAUUUGUUGAGAUUGAAUUGGUGGGUUUUUGUUAAAUGUGAGCCAAAAUCAUCACAAUUAAAAGAACCAAAGACCUAAACUACGUCAGUCUGUGUGCAUUGAAUUUAUUUAAUACACGAGUUUCACAAUUUGAGUUGAAUUACUGAAAUAAAUGAACUUUUCCACGACAUUCUAAUUUAUUGAGAUGCACCUGUAUAGAGAGUGUGAGAGAGAUACGAUAUCACAGUGUAACAUCAAGGUAGUCA
rnacentral:lncRNA from 1 species